CGAGAAAAAAACUUACCUGGACUGGACGGAGUCAACUCAGGAUCAAGAAAACGAGUGGCCUAGGCUAGUGACUUGCUUAGCCUAAG